AUAUUCGUUUUGUGAACUAAUUGAUAAUAAGCGAUUUCCCUUAUACUCAGGAACUUGGUUUUAAAAAGCGAUAGGAGCACAAAAGCGACGAGGUCUAAAAUUGAGGCGCGAAGCGCAAAAGCGGUGGGCUUUUUGUACCCGAGGCGCAAGAAAAACGCCUCUGAUACAUGAGACGCGCGCCUCAGGCCAAAAAGCCCCCCAAAAAACCCGGAAAUCUGCGUCUUUUGGGCGCUUCUUGUAGUUACACAAGGCGCUGAGCGAAAAAGCCCCAGAAAUUGCGCCUCGUGCGGUCUUGCCUCAGCACGCCCUUUUUAAAACCAAGCUCAGGAACACGUUACAGUUCAUUAAACGUUAGACUCGUUUACAAUAAUGGGUUAAACAGGUCAUUUCACGAGUUGGCGUCUUGAAUCUGAACAGGAACACGGGCAGACAUCGUCACCACCCAUUAAUACAAUUUUUUUUACACAUA